UACGUAGGUGGCAAGCGUUGUCCGGAUUUACUGGGCGUAAAAGGGCUCGUAGGCGGACCGGUAAGUCUGGCGUGAAAUCUCCACCGCUCAACGGGGAGAGGUCGCUGGAUACUGCCGGUCUGGAGUGCGGCAGAGGACCAUGGAAUUCCAGGUGUAGCGGUGGAAUGCGUAGAUAUCUGGAAGAACACCGGUGGCGAAGGCGGUGGUCUGGGCCGUUACUGACGCUGAGAGCGAAAGCCAGGGGAGCGAACGGG
rnacentral:rRNA from 1 species